rnacentral:lncRNA from 13 species
UAAGGACACUAGCCCGACAGGGCACUUGCUUGUCCCGCCCUCAGUUUGGCGUUUUCUACAGACAGUGAGUAGAUUUUGUGUGUGUGUCAGUGUCAGGUGUUGUAACUGAAAUUAUU